rnacentral:rRNA from 1 species
CUUGCUUCUCUUGAGAGCGGCGGACGGGUGAGUAAUGCCUAGGAAUCUGCCUGGUAGUGGGGGAUAACGUCCGGAAAUGGACGCUAAUACCGCAUACGUCCUACGGGAGAAAGCAGGGGACCUUCGGGCCUUGCGCUAUCAGAUGAGCCUAGGUCGGAUUAGCUAGUUGGUGGGGUAAUGGCUCACCAAGGCGACGAUCCGUAACUGGUCUGAGAGGAUGAUCAGUCACACUGGAACUGAGACACGGUCCAGACUCCUACGGGAGGCAGCAGUGGGGAAUAUUGGACAAUGGGCGAAAGCCUGAUCCAGCCAUGCCGCGUGUGUGAAGAAGGUCUUCGGAUUGUAAAGCACUUUAAGUUGGGAGGAAGGGCAGUAAAUUAAUACUUUGCUGUUUUGACGUUACCGACAGAAUAAGCACCGGCUAACUCUGUGCCAGCAGCCGCGGUAAUACAGAGGGUGCAAGCGUUAAUCGGAAUUACUGGGCGUAAAGCGCGCGUAGGUGGUUCGUUAAGUUGGAUGUGAAAUCCCCGGGCUCAACCUGGGAACUGCAUUCAAAACUGACGAGCUAGAGUAUGGUAGAGGGUGGUGGAAUUUCCUGUGUAGCGGUGAAAUGCGUAGAUAUAGGAAGGAACACCAGUGGCGAAAGCGACCACCUGGACUGAUACUGACACUGAGGUGCGAAAGCGUGGGG